rnacentral:lncRNA from 13 species
CAAUGAUACACUCUCUCACCAUCUCCUUCCAUCCUCCUCCCUUUAGUCCCUCCCUUUAGUACCUGACUUAUCCUGCCCCUGUCCAGUUAAGUGUUGGAAAGUUUGGGAGAUGUGAACUCUGAUAGAGAAAUAGAUCAACCUCCACGAACAGUUGAUGUCUUUCAGGUUGGUGUAUUGGGGCGGCCUGUUCUGUCCUCAGACUAAAGCAAGAUAGAUGAUGUUUAAAGCUCACUAUGGAUCUACAAACAGUUCACAGCUGCAGCAAACAGCCCAGCAAAAUGGCACACCAAUUGGCCUUCAGCAUGACAUAUCAACUGGCCAGCAACAGGUCACAUCAAUCAGCCAAAGAGUCUGGCCACCUGUGUUUAGACUUCCAGGAUUUCCAGCCGUAUUCAAAUUAAAAUGGGGAGGAAAAAAUUGCGACGAUCUCCAUCGCCCUACUGUGCACUCGAAGUGGAGGUCUCAGAUUGUGCAGGUGUUGUUCGAACUUCAUGUGUACCUGCACUUGGUGAGUAUAGUUAUGUAGUACACCGAUCUUAGCUUA